UACGGAGGGUGCAAGCGUUAUCCGGAUUCACUGGGUUUAAAGGGCGCGUAGGUGGCUUUGUAAGUCAGUGGUGAAAUAUUGCGGCUCAACCGCAAAACUGCCAUUGAUACUGCUUAGCUUGAAUCACGUCGAGGUGGAUGGAAUAAUACAUGUAGCGGUGAAAUGCUUAGAUAUGUAUUAGAACACCGAUUGCGAAGGCAGUUCACUAGGCGUGUAUUGACACUGAGGCUCGAAAGCGUGGGGAUCAAACAGG
rnacentral:rRNA from 1 species